rnacentral:tRNA from 1 species
GUGGGCGUAGCUCAGUUGGUAGAGCCCUGGAUUGUGAUUCCGGUUGUCGUGGGUUCGAGUCCCAUCGUUCACCCA